rnacentral:rRNA from 1 species
AGUGAACGCUGGCGGUAGGCCUAACACAUGCAAGUCGAACGGCAGCACAGUAAGAGCUUGCUCUUACGGGUGGCGAGUGGCGGACGGGUGAGGAAUACAUCGGAAUCUACUUUUUCGUGGGGGAUAACGUAGGGAAACUUACGCUAAUACCGCAUACGACCUACGGGUGAAAGCAGGGGAUCUUCGGACCUUGCGCGAGUGAAUGAGCCGAUGUCGGAUUAGCUAGUUGGCGGGGUAAAGGCCCACCAAGGCGACGAUCCGUAGCUGGUCUGAGAGGAUGGUAGGCCGCCUGGGAAGGUGACAAGCGACCCAGGGACUGAGGGAAGGCCCAGGCGGGGACGUUAGGCAACAGGGGGGAAUCUUGCACAAUCCACGCAGGCUGGAUGAAGAGGCCCUGCGGGUGGUAAGGCCUUUUGUUGGGAAAGAAAAGCAGCAGGUUAAUACCCAGCUGUUCUGACGGUACCCAAAGAAUAAGCACCGGCUAACUACGUG